CAUGUGCUCCCCACCGGCCACAAGAGCAAGGAGCUCUCCUCUCCCUCUCUCUCAAGCACUCUCUCCUUCUCCCCCAAAAUCCCACCUCAAGAGAAGGAAUCGAAGUACCCAUGUGCACGUGGAACACCAUAUUUCUUCAUCUCCCGAGCUGAUUCCUCUGUUUUCUUCAUCCCCGAUGGUCACUAACCUCCACAAGCACCAUGAUGAACGAGGAACUGACGUGUGACCCGGCCGCAGUUGAAGGUGACACCAAUCUCCCCGAGUUCUACGAGUGUUAUGCGGGUAGCAUUAGUUUAUCACCAGAGUAGUAAGGCA